rnacentral:tRNA from 1 species
GGUGAGGUGUCCGAGCGGCUGAAGGAGCACGCCUGGAAAGUGUGUAUACGCUAACCGCGUAUCGAGGGUUCGAAUCCCUCCCUCACCGCCA